rnacentral:rRNA from 1 species
CCUACGGGAGGCUGCAGUAGGGAAUAUUGCUCAAUGGGGGAAACCCUGAAGCAGCAACGCCGCGUGGAGGAUGAAGGUUUUAGGAUUGUAAACUCCUUUUAUUAGAGAAGAAUAUGACGGUAUCUAACGAAUAAGCACCGGCUAACUCCGGUUCAGCAGCCGCGGUAAUACGGAAGGUACGAGCGUUACUCUGAAUCACUUGGCGUAAAGAGUGCGUAAGCGGGGUAAUAAGGCCGAUGUGAAAUCGUGUAGGUUAACUACAGAACUGCCUUUGAAACUGUUACUCUGGAGUGUGGGAGAGGUAGGUGGAAUUCUUGGUGUAGGGGUAAAAUCCGUAGAGAUCAAGAGGAAUACUCAUUGCGAAGGCGACCUGCUGGAACAUUACUGACGCUGAUGCACGAAAGCGUGGGGAGCGAACAGGAUUAGAUACCCGGGUAGUC